rnacentral:rRNA from 1 species
AUUGAACGCUGGCGGCAUGCCUUACACAUGCAAGUCGAACGGCAGCGGACCUUCGGGUGCCGGCGAGUGGCGAACGGGUGAGUAAUAUAUCGGAACGUACCUUUCAGUGGGGGAUAACGUAGCGAAAGUUACGCUAAUACCGCAUAUUCUGUGAGCAGGAAAGCAGGGGAGUCGCAAGACCUUGCGCUGAUUGAGCGGCCGAUAUCAGAUUAGCUAGUUGGUGAGGUAAAGGCUCACCAAGGCGACGAUCUGUAGCGGGUCUGAGAGGAUGAUCCGCCACACUGGAACUGAGACACGGUCCAGACUCCUACGGGAGGCAGCAGUGGGGAAUUUUGGACAAUGGGCGCAAGCCUGAUCCAGCCAUGCCGCGUGAGUGAAGAAGGCCUCGGUU